rnacentral:piRNA from 1 species
UCUUGGAGCAGGAAGUCCUCUCAGGAG